CAGUAGCCGCGGGAAUACGGAGGGUGCAAGCGUUAAUCGGAAUUACUGGGCGUAAAGCGUGCGCAGGCGGUUAUAUAAGUCAGAUGUGAAAUCCCCGGGCUCAACCUGGGAACUGCAUUUGAGACUGUAUGGCUAGAGUGUGUCAGAGGGGGGUAGAAUUCCACGUGUAGCAGUGAAAUGCGUAGAUAUGUGGAGGAAUACCGAUGGCGAAGGCAGCCCCCUGGACCUGUACUGACGCUCAUGCACGAAAGCGUGGGGAGCAAACAGGAUUAGAUACCCGCGUAGUCCCUGUCUCUUAUAC
rnacentral:rRNA from 1 species